rnacentral:rRNA from 1 species
UACAGAGGAUGCAAGCGUUAUCCGGAAUGAUUGGGCGUAAAGCGUCUGUAGGUGGCUUUUUAAGUCCGCCGUCAAAUCCCAGGGCUCAACUCUGGACAGGCGGUGGAAACUACCAAGCCGGAGUACGGUAGGGGCAGAGGGAACUUCCGGUGGAGCGGUGGAAUGCGUAGAGAUCCGGAAGAACACCGGUGGCGAAGGCGGCCCGCUGGGCUGUUGCUGACGCUGAGGCGCGACAGCGUGGGGAGCAAACAGG